rnacentral:rRNA from 1 species
ACGCACGCUGGCGGCGUGCUUAACACAUGCAAGUCGAACGGAAAGGCCUCUUUCGGGGGGUACUCGAGUGGCGAACGGGUGAGUAACACGUGAGUAACCUGCCCUUGACUUUGGGAUAACUUCAGGAAACUGGGGCUAAUACCGGAUAGGAGCUCCUGCUGCAUGGUGGGGGUUGGAAAGUUUCGGCGGUUGGGGAUGGACUCGCGGCUUAUCAGCUUGUUGGUGGGGUAGUGGCUUACCAAGGCUUUGACGGGUAGCCGGCCUGAGAGGGUGACCGGCCACAUUGGGACUGAGAUACGGCCCAGACUCCGACGGGAGGCAGCAGUGGGGAAUAUUGCACAAUGGGUGGAAGCCUGAUGCAGCAACGCCGUGUGCGGGAUGACGGCCUUCGGGUUGUAAACCGCUUUCGCUCAUGACGAAGCUUUGUGUGACGGUAGUGGGUAAAGAAGCACCGGCUAACUACGUG